CCUCUUAUGCGUCAAUUUUUCUCUCGUUUCCUUCCUCGCUUAUUUCUGAGUCAUAGAAUGUCUCCGCGCGUGAGAAGUCAGAGAUAAUCCACCCGAAACAUUAUUCCGGGGAUUUUUUAUUCAGGAACAUCGUUUCCGUGGAUUUGUUUAGUUUUAUUGUGUAUGACAGUAGUGAUUUAAGUUUGGAGAAAAUCAGUGUUUUUUGAAUGGGCUUAUUCCUACAAAAAAAGAAAGGUAAGUUUUUAUCAUAUACGUAUAAUAAUUGGAAUGACCGAUCAGUGAAAAGGGCCUUACGUCAGAUUUUUGACAAACACUAAUUUAUAUGAUUUUAAAUUCAUUGAUGGGUUUUCAGUAGCAAUAACAAGCUCAAUGUUUGAAUAAAGAUCUAACUGCAGACGAGUUAUGGAGUCCUGAUAAUCACUUGGCAAAGGAUUUAAAUAAAGGAAAAAGAUGAAAGAAAUGUGUUGAAAUUUAUAAGAUGAUCCGGGAUAAAAUAGUUCCAGGUCCCUUCUCAAAUUGUUUUGGGUUGCUUAAGCUGAACUUUUGGAUUGAUCCUAUUUAAAUGGUUAAUUUAAGGAUACGCAGAUUAGAAUUUUCCAAAGCAAAGAUUUUCAAAAUUUCGAAAAUCAUACUUUCUCCUCGCUUUUUGAUUUUCAUUCCAGAUGUCUAAAGAAAUUGAAGAUUUCAGACUGUUCUCGAGAAAAAAAGUCUCAUAGUGCCCUCACCUCAGGAGCUGAAGGAGGACGUAAAUUAUUUAAUGGAGUGGAUAGCACAGAACCUGAUUUGCCAAUAUCACCGAUGAGGAGUGGUUGACGACAUUUUGUGCAACAAAAAUUUAGCCUGGAGAGGACAAAACGGAACUGGUCAACUAUUACGUUUACACAGAAGCAAAUAUCCAAGUGUGUUGAUGCGAAAAACGAGAUCCCUCGUCGAUAGAGGCUCUUCAAACUAUGAAGGCUUUCCGUUUGGGUUCUCUACAAAGGUUAACAAAAGAUGGGUGCAAACUUAUUUAUUCCUCGUGGAGUCCUGAAUUCGAUAAUUUUAGCGCAAAUGAAGUUUUGAAGAGAGUCUUCAUGGCCGCGGAUGUGAUGACCUUGGAGAGGAUCCGAUUGGCGAAAACCGUUGUCGUCGCAGAUUGUGGGGCUCUCACCUACCGACAUUACCUGAGACUAACACCGAUUCUGACACAGUUUGGGGAUAUCAUGAUCAACGGGCAUACGGAAAGAAUCAAAGCUAUUUAUUUCCUUAAUGCCGCGCGGUGGAUUUGUGAAUUGCUCGAGGUUUUGAAACACUGCGUUCCAGCCACGCUGAGUAGUCGGAUGCACAUUUUUCGUCUCCAAACGAGAAAUUUCGACAGGAGUUCCAUGAACACGAUCUUUCGAUCGAUUACGGAGGCAAAGCAUCUAGUUUAGACGAACUGACCGAGCAUACGCAGAGAUUGUUGGAAAAACAUAGGCGAUGGUUCCUCGAACAAGAAAACGUUUGUUCAAAUGAUAUCACAAGAAGGUCAAAAGAAAAUUUGGAUGAUAUGAAAGGAUCUUUCCGGCAGCUGAAUAUAGAUUGAACGUGUGAAUUGAUUCAGUGGCGUGGCGUGCUUUGCGAUAUAUCGAUUGAUCUGCCAUUUAAACCUAUGGAAAAAGAUCGAUAGACAGGGUGUUCGCAGCGAACACCUUAAUAAUCGAUUCUUUACCAUAUCUUUUAAUGGAGAGGUAUCGGUAAUCGAUCAUUCAUGCCACGCCACUGAUAAUUGAUUCACUAAUUGAAUGCCAAACUACAUUCAACUUGAUAUGUUUUGUAUAAGCAAUUACAUCUUGAACACAUGUAGAGAUUGUUGCAACUACCCUCAUUUGUUUAAUAACAAAAAUCUUUAAAUUAUAAUUCGGAUUUUAGUCUAAAUGUGGUUUAUUUGGAUAAAUCCUAGCUGUUUAAAUAUCGAAUAAUAAUUUUUAAAUUUUGAUAUUAGUGCACGUCCAAUUUUUUUUCUUUUCGUUAUUCAUUUUUUAUCAUCAUAAUUAUUUUAUUCGUCGUGUCCAGAUAACUUACUUUCUAAAAUAUGGCAAUUAUAUUUUGAAACGCAUGUUCAAAAUUGGACCGUAUUUCGCAAUCAGGAAUUACAAUAUCAAGCUCAUCCGUAAAAACACUUAUGCACUUAAAGAAAUUAUGGGACAUAUGUGGUUCCUAAACUAUGCCAGAAAAAAAGAGAGUCCCAAUUGCAAAAU
rnacentral:lncRNA from 1 species